rnacentral:rRNA from 1 species
UACGGAGGGUGCAAGCGUUAUCCGGAUUCACUGGGCUUAAAGGGUGCGUAGGUGGGUUGAUAAGUCAGUGGUGAAAUCCCCGAGCUUAACUUGGGAACUGCCAUUGAUACUAUUGAUCUUGAAUACCGUGGAGGCCAGCGGAAUAUGUCAUGUAGCGGUGAAAUGCUUAGAUAUGACAUAGAACACCAAUUGCGAAGGCAGCUGGCUACGCGAAUAUUGACACUGAUGCACGAAAGCGUGGGGAUCAAACAGG